GACGCCGUAGCUCAGUUGGCGAGAGCACAUCGAGGAGGUCGCGGGUUCAAGUCCCGCCGGCGUCG
rnacentral:tRNA from 1 species